AGAUUGAACGCUGGCGGCAUGCCUUACACAUGCAAGUCGAACGGCAGCACGGGGGCAACCCUGGUGGCGAGUGGCGAACGGGUGAGUAACAUAUCGGAACGUGCCCUGGAGUGGGGGAUAACUAGUCGAAAGACUAGCUAAUACCGCAUACGAUCUACGGAUGAAAGUGGGGAUCGCAAGACCUCAUGCUCGUGGAGCGGCCGAUAUCUGAUUAGCUAGGUUGGUAGGGUAAAGCCUACCAAGGCAUCGAUCAGUAGCUGGUCUGAGAGGACGACCAGCCACACGUGGGACUAGAGACCACCGGCCCAGACCGUCCGUACGGGAGGCAGCGUAGGUAGGGUAAUUUGGAACGAAGU
rnacentral:rRNA from 1 species